AAAGUGUCAAGUCAAAUUUUGGAGUCUUGCUUUGCAUGUAAACAUAUAAUAAUACCAAAACCAAGAGGAAAGGAAAUUAUGUUCCUCUUCCAACUUCUUCUCAUCGUCGUCGUUGUCAUCUUCUUCUUUUUGUAGAGCAAAAGCUUGCCAGAGCAAGAGGCGCUGUAUGGGCUUUGUUGUCAUAUUCCUUCUUCUUGUGUUACCCAAUUUGUUUUAUUCAGCUCCUAUUGCCUCUCCCUCCAUUUCCCCCAAUUUCACAGCCUCCAAUUUCCAGUUCAUCGACGUCUCAGGCGCCUUUCUCGUCUCUCUAAACAACCUUUUCACUGCCUCCAUCACUAAUUCCAAUUCCCAUACUUCCCUUUACUUCUUCCUCAUCAUCCAUGUCCAAUCCAACUCCAUUAUUUGGUCUGCUAAUCCAAACAAACCCGUUUCCACUUCCAGCCUUCUCACUCUCUCCCCCACCGGCCUCUCUCUCUCCGACGACUCUGGCCUCCUCGUCUGGUCCACUCCUCCUCUCUCCUCCCCUAUCGCCUCCAUGCUCCUCCUUGACUCCGGCAACCUCCUCCUCCUCGACCACUCCAACGUCUCUCUCUGGGAAUCCUUUCAUUAUCCCACCGAUACCAUCGUCGUCGGACAGCGUCUCACAGUUAUGAAUUCUCUGUUUCCGGCCCAGCCCGACGACCACGACAUUUCGAUUGGGGGCUCUCAGUAUCGCCUUCUUCUUACUUCCAAUGAUUUAUUGCUACAGUGGAAUCGGAUCACUUUCUGGAAAUUGUCGAUGGACUUGAAGGCUUUUACACAUUCUUAUGCCCCUGUUUCUUUCCUCGCUAUGAAUGCCUCUGGACUUUAUCUCUUUUCCGGAGAUGGAUCGACGGUGGUGAUGCACGUGAGUUUGAACUUGAAUUCAGGUUCUUCAUCUGAUUUUUUUAGAUUUGGGAGACUUGGGUUUGAUGGGAGAUUCAAAAUCAUGAGCUUUAUUAAUGGGGGUUUUGUCGAAGAGUUUUUAGGUCCUUCAGAAAUUUGUCAAAUUCCAACAAUUUGUGGGAAGUUGAAACUCUGUUCUGCCGGAACUUGUUCAUGUCCUCCAAGUUUCACCGGAGAUUCACGGGGUGGUUGUGUUCCAGCCGAUUCAUCCAUUUCUCUUGCUUCUUCUUGUGGGAAUAUUAGCUCAUUGGACUCGAAAUCGAGCUUUUCGUAUUUGAGAUUGAUGAAUGGUGUUGAUUAUUUUGCUAAUACUUUUAUGGAGCCAGUAACUCAUGGAGUUGACUUGCAAUUUUGCAAAUAUUUGUGCUCCAAGAAUUGUUCUUGUUUGGGGCUUUUCUAUGAAAAUUCUUCCUCUUCUUGUCUUUUAAUUUGGAAUCAGAUUGGCUCCAUUAUGUCAGCUAAUAAAGGUCGUGUUGGCUUCAUAAAAACUCUCCAAAUUACUCCAAUUUCUGAAGGAAGGAGUAGGAAAAGGAUUCCGUUGGUGGGUUUGAUAUUGAUUCCUUCAUCUGCACUCUUUCUUGUCAUCACAUUUGUUGUACUCCUUCUCUGGUUUCGAAGAUGGAGGAUUUCGGUGAUGCUUCAGCGGUCGGAUUCUUCUUCGUCAGCUGAGCUCGAAAUGUCAUUGAUUCCGGGGUUACCCAUUCGGUACAGCUACAACGAGAUUGCAACUGCGACCAACAAUUUCAAGACACAAAUAGGAAGUGGGGGAUUUGGGAUUGUUUAUAAAGGAACUCUGUCAGAUAAAACAAUAGUUGCAGUGAAGAAAAUUACAAGCUUUGGAGUGCAGGGAAGGAGGAAUUUUUGUGCAGAGAUUGGCGUGAUUGGGAAUAUUCAUCAUGUAAAUUUGGUGAGAUUGAAAGGGUUUUGCUUGCAAGGAAGGCAUCGUGUUUUAGUUUUGGAGUAUAUGAACAGAGGGUCAUUGGAUGAGGCUCUCUUUGUAGAUGGGGAUGACCCAGUUUUGGAGUGGAAAGAUAGGUUUCAAAUAACAUUAGGGACUGCUAGAGGACUUGCAUAUUUGCAUAGUGGGUGUGACCAUAAGAUCAUCCAUUGUGAUGUGAAGCCGGAGAAUAUUCUUUUGAACGAUAGUUUGGGGGUCAAGAUUUCUGAUUUCGGACUCUCCAAGCUUCUCACUCCUGAACAAUCGGGUUUGUUCACAACUCUAAGAGGGACUCGGGGGUAUCUCGCGCCUGAGUGGCUCACUAGUUCGACCAUUUCUGAUAAGACGGAUGUUUAUAGCUUUGGAAUGGUGGUGUUGGAAAUUGUUAGAGGGAGGAAGAACUGGUUGUUGCAGGAAGAGGAGAGGGUGUAUUUUCCUCUGCUUGCAUUACAAAUGCAUAUGGAAGGAAGGUACUUGGAGUUGGUGGAUCCAAGGUUGGAAGGGAAAGUGAGAAGUGAUGAGGUUGAGAUGCUCGUACGAGUGGGGCUAUGUUGUGUGCAUGAGGAUCCAGCGAUGAGGCCAACUAUGGCCAACGUUGUGGGGAUGUUAGAAGGAGGGAUUCCUAUGGCUGACCCGAUUGUUGAAUCCCUUAGCUUCUUGUAUUUGUAUGGACGCAGAUUCAGUGAGGCGACCAUGGUCGAAAACUUGACUUUGCAAGAUCCGUUUGCAUUGCAAAGAGCAUUGACAUUAGCAACAUCGACAUCAACAAGACAUGGUCAUCCCCAUAAUCGCGAGAAGAAUAAUAAUGACAUCAUUUCUACUUUCUCUUACAUUUCAUCCCAACAAGUGUCGGGUCCUCGAUAGCACAUUGGUAUUCAUCCAAUUCUUUUUUUCCACAUUUGUUGAAGAGACUAAAUGGAAUUUUAUUGCCAAAGUGAACUUAAUUUAGCGGUAAUUGACAUGACUUUCCAUCUUAAAGCCUCGUCAGCGCUAUGUCGUCCCAUGGCGCUGUGCACAGUGAUGCAAGGAAGAAUAACCGCCCAUAUUUGUUAAAAGCAUGGAGCACCAUAAUGUUCCAAAGAUGAUCUCUGUGCAAGUUUUCGUCAGAGUUGUGUCAUCAAUCUGAUUUUACAGAAGAAUAAUUUCGCCGCCUAGGUUAUUUUGGUCUCAUUCCAAUAGCUUAGAUAUCAGAUUCUCUCUAUUUUCUUCUAUGUUUUUUGUUUGCUCAUGUGCUUGACAUGUCUAUAAUGGGCUAAGGUACCUUCUUUUAGCUUGGACUUCUGGUGAUUUUCUUUUAUGUCGAUGUAUUUGUUAGAGUUUGAACUUAAUUAUUUGUAUAGCUCUGGUUUCAAUCAUGUUUUCAAUGAUUAUUAUUCAUGUUAUUGGACGCAUGUGGAUCAUAUUGUUGGA